rnacentral:misc_RNA from 1 species
AAGUCGUAACAAGGUUUCCGUAGGUGAACCUGCGGAAGGAUCAUUAUUGAAUGAACUUGGUAUGAUUGUUGCUGGUCCAUCUGGGCAUGUGCACAUCUGCCAUCUUUAUCUCUCCACCUGUGCACCUAUUGUAGGUCUGAAAUAAAUUUCUGAGGUAACUCAGUAGUGGGGAAUGCUGCUGCGAAGUGGCUUUGCCUGUGAUUUCAGAUCUAUGUUUUCAUAUACACCAUAAAAAUGUAACAGAAUGUCAUAAUGGGUCUUGUACCUAUAAACUAUAUACAACUUUCAGCAACGGAUCUCUUGGCUCUC